AGCAGUACAAUCCACAUAAACAUAUCAAUAAAUGAUGAACCUGCAAAUUUAAGACAUAGUUAGUGAUCAAAACUAAUUUAACAUGUAUAGAAAAAAAUUCAUAACAAAACUAGAAUAUGCAUACCAAUUAAGAUCUAAGACAUUGCAUUUUCUUGUCUUUCUUUUUUUGAAAUGCCUUUUUAAUUUGUUGAAGAUCAAGACCUUUGAAUAUUUCUGUAGUUCUGUUAAAGCAGAUCUGCAGAUAUAUCAAGUUAUCAACACUCAACAGCAAUUUAACUUCUUGAAGGCUUGAAGCUUUGCAAAAUUGCAACUCCAACAGCCCUGUUAUUCCCAAAUCCUAAAGACCC
rnacentral:lncRNA from 1 species